CCCCAGGGCCUGAGCCCAGGAUUGGGGCUCUAGGUGUCAAGGUUUUCCGCUCCAGGAUAGCAUGCCUGCCAGGAUCAUCUUUCCUCUUUGGCUCUGGGCCAUUCCCAUCAGGAUGAGAACACGCUGCAAUAUUGCCCAGCUUGAAAUGAGCUAUUCUAGGCCCCCGUGUUCCCACCCUCACCCUUUUACAUUAAAACUCCACAAAGCA
rnacentral:lncRNA from 1 species